rnacentral:rRNA from 1 species
UACAGAGGUCCCAAGCGUUGUUCGGAUUCACUGGGCGUAAAGGGUGCGUAGGCGGUCAGGUAAGUCUGAUGUGAAAUCUCACAGCUUAACUGUGAAACUGCAUUGGAUACUAUCCGGCUCGAGGAAUGGAGGGGAGACUGGAAUACUUGGUGUAGUAGUGAAAUGCGUAGAUAUCUGGAAGAACACCAAUGGCGAAGGCAAUGUUCUGGCUCGUUUCUGACGCUCAGGUGCGAAAGCCAGGGGAGCGAACGGG